GGGUGCGAUCAGACCAGCGUUAAUGUAAUGGAUCCCAUCAGAUCUCCGCAGUUAAGCGUGCUUGGGCUAUAAUAGUACUGGGAUGGGUGACCUCCUGGGAAGUCCUAGUGUUGCACCCU
rfam:Picea glauca, whole genome shotgun sequence.